rnacentral:rRNA from 1 species
AUUGAACGCUGGCGGCAGGCCUAACACAUGCAAGUCGAACGAGUGGCGGACGGGGGAGUAAUGUCUGGGAAACUGCCUGAUGGAGGGGGAUAACUACUGGAAACGGUAGCUAAUACCGCAUACCAUCGGAUGUGCCCAGAUGGGAUAAGCUAGUAGGUGGGGUAACGGCUCACCUAGGCGACGAUCCCUAGCUGGUCUGAGAGGAUGACCAGACACACUGGAACUGAGACACGGUCCAGACUGCUACGGGGAGCAGCAGUGGGGAAGAUUGCACAGUGGGCGCAAGCCUGAUGCAGCCAUGCCGCGUGUAUGAAGAAGGCCUCGGGUUGUAAAGUACUUUCAGCGGGGAGGCGUUACCCGCAGAAGAAGCACCGGCUAACUCCGUGCCAGCAGCCGCGGUAAUUC